rnacentral:lncRNA from 1 species
UUCGGGAUCGGGACCGUGUGACAUGGAGGAUAAAUGGCGCGGAAAAAGAGGAGGGGAGGGGGAAAGGGUAAAAGAAGAUCUUUACAGCUCUCACGACCUUCUCUGCGCACAAGUAAACCACCCACGAGAGAGAAACCCACCCAGAAAGAACUCUCACUACCAGCCAGGGCCGCUGCAGAGCGCCGCCCUCGAACAAACUCCGCCGCCGGGCGCUCAAAACGGCCAGGUUCUCCGCCACCGAUAGAACUCUCCCGACGAAUCUUCACCCCUAUCUGUGCCGACGAUGCUCGCCCUCUUCCCUCCAGGCCGGGUCCGGCGGCGGAAGCUGGUAUUCGUCCGGGGUCAGCGCCGGCACGAAGUCGGGCAGCGGGGGCGCCGCCUUCUCCGGACACCUGCGCCAGUAAAACACAUCAGAGGGUGACGUACGACCCGGCACGACGAGGUAUGGUAAUCGGAGAUCGAUUGAUCGGCAAAACGAUUUGAUUCCAGGAGUCAGAAAAGCCAUCACAGGAAACCAGCAAGAAGAUAGAGUAUUAUAUCCUCUAAUCCUUCAUUUUCCUCGCGUUCUCAUCAUCAUAUCACUCAUUCGAUCUAUAUGAAUGCAUAUGUACUGCUUUAGAACAGGUUAUAUAUUGUUCACGGGGCUUACUUUUGGAGAAUAUGGAGGCCCGGGGCAGUAUGCAACGUAUGUGAAGCAUCCUCAGUGAUUUUCUCAGCCAAACGCUUCAUAAACGGCAACGGAGGAGGCGACCUGCAGGAUCAAUAGCAUGCUUACCUCCUAAGAUAUGUAGAAGAACAACAAUGUCUGACUUAGGAAAAUGGGAAAUUUUUGCUAGCUAGCUGGGUCGUAGAGAUUUAUUUCCCUAAAUGUGAGGGAAUAGUCAGACCACCAUAUGAAGACGGUUUAUGAUCUGGGUUUCUCUUCCUUAUUAAGGUAACCUUGAAAUUGGAGGUGCCGAAUUGAAGGCUUCACAGGCCCUUUUGCUUUCUCUGAGGAACCCCUCCGCUGCCUGCAGGGCGGCCACAGCCAGCCCCUGGGUCUUCCCUUCGCUCCCUUCGUUGAGGAUAAGCCCGUGGUAGUAAUAAGCGGCGGCCUGCAAGAUAAAAGCCAUCUUUGGUGAGUAGAUAUAUAUCCCCAUCAUUUAUACACUCUGUAAUUUUUUUUUUUUGCUUCCGGGAUUCUUUUUGAUUCCGAGGAUUCAUGCCAGUUAGAGUUGAACCCCUUGAUGAUGGGUUUUGCUUCCGGACGACGUAGAAUCAGAAAUGGAUAUGCAUUAUAUGGCUUAAUGCUUCAGAUUUUUGCUCAUUUUAGUUAUAGUCCAUGCUAAAAAUAGAGAGCGGAAAGUUCUACC